AUACGUAGGGGGCGAGCGUUGUCCGGAAUUACUGGGCGUAAAGAGCUCGUAGGUGGUUUGUCGCGUCGUCUGUGAAAUUCCGGGGCUUAACUCCGGGCGUGCAGGCGAUACGGGCAUAACUUGAGUACUGUAGGGGAGACUGGAAUUCCUGGUGUAGCGGUGAAAUGCGCAGAUAUCAGGAGGAACACCGGUGGCGAAGGCGGGUCUCUGGGCAGUAACUGACGCUGAGGAGCGAAAGCAUGGGUAGCGAACAGGAUUAGAUACCCUGGUAGUCCAUGCCGUAAACGGGGGGCGCUAGGUGUAGGGGUCUUCCACGACUUCUGUGCCGUAGCUAACGCAUUAAGCGCCCCGCCUGGGGAGUACGGCCGCAAGGCUAAAACUCAAAUGAAUUGGCGGGG
rnacentral:rRNA from 1 species